AAGAGAUUAGUUAAACUUAUAACAUUAAUUUGUCAAAUUAAAAUUAUUUUUAAAAAAUAUCACUUA
rnacentral:tRNA from 1 species